rnacentral:lncRNA from 1 species
UGGUCCUCGGGGGCCGGACGGAGCGCCGCCCCGCGUGCCGGCAGCCGGCGGACUGGAGAACUGACCCCCCGUUUUUGUCUCUUCCACCCUCCGAGAAGAGGCGAGGAGAAAGGGGAAGUCGGAAUGGGAACGAGGUGCCCAGCUCCCGUGGAGAAAGCUUAAGGACACCACGCCAGUGCUUUCCUGCCUUCCUUCCGAGAUGGAAAGAGGAGCUCCUAGCUCACUUAAGCCGGGGUAGGGCUGGUUCUCCUUUCCGAGCCAAAAUCCCAGGCGAUGGUGAAUUAUGAACGUGCCACACCAUGAAGCUCUUGUGGCAGGUAACUGUGCACCACCACACCUGGAAUGCCAUCCUGCUCCCGUUCGUCUACCUCACGGCGCAAGUGUGGAUUCUGUGUGCAGCCAUCGCUGCUGCCGCCUCAGCCGGGCCCCAGAACUGCCCCUCCGUCUGCUC